rnacentral:hammerhead_ribozyme from 1 species
AUCCAUCUGAUGAAUCCCAAAUAGAACGAAAUGCGCCUCUUAGAU